AGUUUGAUCCUGGCUCAGGAUGAACGCUGGCGGCGUGCUUAACACAUGCAAGUCGAACGGGAUCCAUCAAGCUUGCUUGAUGGUGAGAGUGGCGAACGGGUGAGUAAUGCGUGACUAACCUGCCUCAUACACCGGAAUAGCUCCUGGAAACGGGUGGUAAUGCCGGAUGCUCCAACAUUUCACAUGUUUUGUUGGGAAAGCGUUAGCGGUAUGAGAUGGGGUCGCGUCCUAUCAGCUUGUUGGUGAGGUAAUGGCUCACCAAGGCUUCGACGGGUAGCCGGCCUGAGAGGGCGACCGGCCACAUUGGGACUGAGAUACGGCCCAGACUCCUACGGGAGGCAGCAGUGGGGAAUAUUGCACAAUGGGCGAAAGCCUGAUGCAGCGACGCCGCGUGCGGGAUGAAGGCCUUCGGGUUGUAAACCGCUUUUAAUUGGGAGCAAGCGAGAGUGAGUGUACCUUUUGAAUAAGCACCGGCUAACUACGUGCCAGCAGCCGCGGUAAUACGUAGGGUGCAAGCGUUAUCCGGAAUUAUUGGGCGUAAAGAGCUCGUAGGCGGUUUGUCACGCCUGGUGUGAAAGUCCAUCGCUUAACGGUGGAUCUGCGCCGGGUACGGGCAGGCUAGAGUGCAGUAGGGGAGAUUGGAAUUCCCGGUGUAACGGUGGAAUGUGUAGAUAUCGGGAAGAACACCAAUGGCGAAGGCAGAUCUCUGGGCUGUUACUGACGC
rnacentral:rRNA from 1 species